GAAAGUAGGAAAGGGCGCAUGGCGGAUGCCUUGGCUCUCGGAGGCGAUGAAGGACGUGAUAAGCUGCGAUAAGUCACGGGGAGGUGCAAAUAACCCUUGAUCCGUGAAUCUCCGAAUGGGACAACCCGUUACCUUGAAGAGGUAACAUCCAUCAAUGAUGGAGGCUAACGCAGGGAACUGAAACAUCUUAGUACCUGCAGGAAAAGAAAAUAACAAUGAUUCCCCCAGUAGUGGCGAGCGAACGGGGAAGAGCCCAAACCGUUCAUGUUACGGCAUGGACGGGGUUGUAGGACCGCGUCGUUGCAAGAAAUUUUGCGAGAAGAACGAUCUGGAAAGUUCGGCCGAAGACGGUGACAGCCCGGUAUUCUAAGCAAGACGAAGCAUAGCGGUAUCCUGAGUAGCGCGGAACACGAGGAAUUCUGCGUGAAUCUGCCGGGACCAUCCGGUAAGGCUAAAUACUCCCGAGAGACCGAUAGUGGACCAGUACCGUGAGGGAAAGGUGAAAAGCACUUCGAACAGAAGAGUGAAAUAGUACCUGAAACCGUGCGCCUACAAGCGGUCGGAGCACGAAAGUGUGACGGCGUGCCUUUUGCAUAAUGAACCUACGAGUUGCCGUCUUUGGCAAGGUUAAGGGACAUGAGUCCCGCAGCCGAAGCGAAAGCGAGUCUGAACAGGGCGUCAAGUCAGCGGCGGCAGACGCGAAACCAAGUGAUCUACCCUUGGCCAGGAUGAAGUCUGGGUAACACCAGAUGGAGGUCCGCACCAAUAAGCGUUGAAAAGCUUCUGGAUGAGCUGAGGGUAGGGGUGAAAGGCUAAUCAAACUUGGAGAUAGCUCGUACUCCCCGAAAUGCAUUUAGGUGCAGCCUUGCGGGUUACUGAUGUGAGGUAGAGCGACUGAUUGGAUGCGAGGGCUUCACCGCCUAUCAAGUCCUGACAAACUCCGAAUGCGCAUCAGUUCUACCGCAGGAGUGAGGGCAUGGGUGCUAAGGUCCGUGCCCGAGAGGAGAAGAAUCCGGACCACCGGCUAAGGUCCCGAAAUGACAGCUAAGUUAAACUAACGAAGUCUGAUUGCUAAGACAGCUAGGAUGUUGGCUUGGAAGCAGCCAUUCAUUUAAAGAGUGCGUAACAGCUCACUAGUCGAGGAAUCGGGCGUGGAUAAUAAUCGGGUAUGAAGUUGUCUACCGAAGCCGUGGGAUCAGCAAUGAUCGGUAGGGGAGCAUUCCAUUCCGCGUCGAAGGCGUGGCGUGAGCCAUUCUGGAGCGUAUGGAAAAGCAAAUGUAGGUAUAAGUAACGAUAAAGGGGGUGAGAAACCCCCUCGCCGAAAGACUAAGGUUUCCUGAUCAACGCUAAUCGGAUCAGGGUCAGUCGGGUCCUAAGGCUCAGCCGAACGGCGAGGCCGAUGGCAGAAACGGUUAAUAUUCCGUUACUACCUUUGAGGGUGACGUGGGGAAGCAGUAGUGACACUGCCGCGGGCUGACGGAAUAGCCCGUUAAAGAGUGUAGGCGUUGAUUUCCGCAGGCAAAUCCACGGAAAGAGCCGAACUUGACAGUAUGGAGCGUCCUUCGGGACAAUCCAACAGCGCAGGUAAUCAGACUGCCGAGAAAAUCCGCUAAACAUAACUUCAGAGGUACCCGUACCGCAAACGGACACACGUAGUCGGGUUGAAUAUACUAAGGCGCUUGGGUGAAUCACGGUUAAGGAACUAGGCAAACUGACCCUGUAACUUCGGGAUAAAGGGUCCCUCCUCGCAAGAGAGGGCGCAGAGAAUAGGUCCAGGCAACUGUUUAACAAAAACACAGGGCUGUGCGAAUAUGAAAGUAGAAGUAUACAGCCUGACACCUGCCCGGUGCUGGAAGGUUAAGAGGAGAUGUCAUCGCAAGAGAAGCAUUGAAUUGAAGCCCCAGUAAACGGCGGCCGUAACUAUAACGGUCCUAAGGUAGCGAAAUUCCUUGUCGGGUAAGUUCCGACCUG
rnacentral:rRNA from 1 species